rnacentral:rRNA from 1 species
AGAACGAACGCUGGCGGCAUGCCUAACACAUGCAAGUCGAACGAGACCUUCGGGUCUAGUGGCGCACGGGUGCGUAACGCGUGGGAAUCUGCCCUUAGGUACGGAAUAACAGUGAGAAAUUACUGCUAAUACCGUAUGAAGUCUUCGGACCAAAGAUUUAUCGCCUAGGGAUGAGCCCGCGUUGGAUUAGCUAGUUGGUGGGGUAAAGGCCUACCAAGGCGACGAUCCAUAGCUGGUCUGAGAGGAUGAUCAGCCACACUGGGACUGAGACACGGCCCAGACUCCUACGGGAGGCAGCAGUGGGGAAUAUUGGACAAUGGGCGAAAGCCUGAUCCAGCAAUGCCGCGUGAGUGAAGAAGGCCUUCGGGUUGUAAAGCUCUUUUACCCGGGAAGAUAAUGACUGUACCGGAGAAUAAGCCCGGCUAACUCCGUGCCAGCAGCCGC